UUCUACAGCCAUGCCACCCUGAAGAAGCCCAAUGUCUGAUCUGAGAAGCUAAGCAGGGUUGAGCCUGGCUAGUACUUGAAUGAGGGACUACCUAGGAAGACCAGGUGCUGUAGGCA
rnacentral:rRNA from 1 species